CAAAAACAUUUUUUAAUGAAAUAAUAUUAAAUAAAGCCUGCUCAAUGAAAUAAAUAGCCGCAGAAAAUUUACUGUGCUAAGGUAGCAUAAUCAUUUGUCUUUUAAUUAAAGACUAGAACGAACGACUUAACAAUUAAAUAAUUUUUUUUACUAAAUAUUUAAUUUAACUUAAGCAUAAAAAUCUGCUUAUAAAUAUAAUAGACGACAAGACCCUAUUGAACUUAACUGAUGUUUAGCUGGGGAAGCUAAAUAAUAACUAUUUUAUUAAUAUAUCUAAAAUAAAAACCUCUUAAAUAAAAUAAUCAAGUUACCAUAGGGAUAACAGCGUAAUAAUUUUCUAGAGCUCUUAUUUAAAAAAAAGUUUACGACCUCGAUGUUGAAUUAAUUUUCCUUUUUAGCGCAAGCGCUAAAAAAGUAAGUCUGUUCGACUUUACAAAAAUUACAUGAUCUGAGUUCAAACCGGAGA
rnacentral:rRNA from 1 species